rnacentral:tRNA from 3 species
UGCCGAUUAGUGUAACGGUAGCACACCUGACUCUGACUCAGUUUGUCCGGGUUCAAAUCCUGGAUCGGCAGCCA